CCUACGGGGGGCUGCAGUGAGGAAUAUUGGUCAAUGGACGAGAGUCUGAACCAGCCAAGUAGCGUGAAGGAUGACUGCCCUAUGGGUUGUAAACUUCUUUUAUAAAGGAAUAAAACGAGGCACGUGUGCCUUUUGCAUGUACUUUAUGAAUAAGGAUCGGCUAACUCCGUGCCAGCAGCCGCGGUAAUACGGAGGAUCCGAGCGUUAUCCGGAUUUAUUGGGUUUAAAGGGAGCGUAGAUGGGUUGUUAAGUCAGUUGUGAAAGUUUGCGGCUCAACCGUAAAAUUGCAAUUGAUACUGGCAGUCUUGAGUACAGUUGAGGUAGGCGGAAUUCGUGGUGUAGCGGUGAAAUGCUUAGAUAUCACGAAGAACCCAGAUUGCGAAGGCGGCUUGCUGGACGAUAACUGACGUUGAGGCUCGAAAGCGUGGGGAGCAAACAGGAUUAGAUACCAGUAGUC
rnacentral:rRNA from 1 species